rnacentral:rRNA from 1 species
UAGACCGCCUGGGGAGUACGGCCGCAAGGUUAAAACUCAAAUGAAUUGACGGGGGCCCGCACAAGCGGUGGAGCAUGUGGUUUAAUUCGAUGCAACGCGAAGAACCUUACCUGGUCUUGACAUCCACAGAACUUUCCAGAGAUGGACUGGUGCCUUCGGGAACUGUGAGACAGGUGCUGCAUGGCUGUCGUCAGCUCGUGUUGUGAAAUGUUGGGUUAAGUCCCGCAACGAGCGCAACCCUUAUCCUUUGUUGCCAGCGAUUAGGUCGGGAACUCA